CCAACUCAUGGAGCAAUUCAUUAUUCUUAGGUUUGUUCGAGUUGGCGAGCGUCAGUGAAGGUGACUCACACAAGCCUGGACUAUCCAUAAGUUGGGAACUAGGCAAAAAACAAUUCCUUAAUUUUAUCUUGUGCAAUUCACUGUGCUUUUUCUUAUCAAUAGCAACAAUUGUGGUUGUAGCAUUGACUGAAAUCUUCCUGUGGGACUGGCAAUCUACUUCACUUCUUUUGUUGCCUAUGAUGUGCAUUCUCUUGCUAAUUGCUGCAGCAGAGUUUGUAUUUGGGGUGGCUAUAGUUACCGAUACAAGCGUUGCAAAUGUAUUUCCACUUCGAGCUUUGAUUUUGGUUGUAAUCCUACUGAACAUAACAUGGCAGCUUGCUUGGACCUACCAAUAUCUCCGGAAAAGGUUACAGAGAUUACGCCGCAACGAAGAGGGGAGAGGAGCAUGAACGAAUUGAAUCAGAAAAGCAAUGCUAAUGAUGUCCUGCAUGACGAGAUCUGAUUGAAUGUUAAUGUUCAGGAUUAAGAACUUGAUUUUCUUGUAACACCAAUUUGAUUUUGAAUGACAAGCUACUUUACAUGUCUGAGGCAUGUCUUGUUUUGCUUUGAAAAAGAAACGAAAGCAUGGAAGACUAGUUUGGUUUU